UGCGGAGUCAGUCAACGGCAGGCUGCCUGGCCCUGACCCAGGUCAUAGAGGUUCGAAUCCUCUCUCCGCAG
rnacentral:tRNA from 1 species